rnacentral:misc_RNA from 1 species
CUCCCCCUCUCUCGUAACCACCGAGCAAAUCACUAGCUGGAGUCUGUUACAUCUUCGCCGGGUUGGUGAUUCAGCCAGGGAAGGGGCUAUAAAGCUUGGGCUCCGCAACCCCUCGCUGAUCCCCAAAUCAAAUGUCGCCGGUGUGUUGAUUGGGUGGUGCCUCCAUGGUGAUAGUCGAGAGAGAGAGAGAGAGAGAGAGAGAAAGGCCACUGACAUCGCAAGUCACCCAGGUCGCCGCUUAGAGGCUAGGAAGAGGUCAAGGGGAUGCUCUAGCACGUGUGGAUUGUGUAGGUGGGAGCUUAUGGCUGCAGAGGCCUUCUGUGCUGGCCAGUUUUCUCACCGUAGCGACGGCACCACCGUGGAACUUCUGUGCAUCGUGGACAACUUCAUCGCUACCCUCGCUGUUGAAGCGAGAUCAUGAGGAACCCGAAGCCCAAACUUGGGGAAGUACCUGGAAUCGCAAGUAAAAGGCAAGUUGUGUCCUUGAUCACAUUCUUUGGCCUAAUAAUGUUUAUGUUUUUGAUAAUCACCAUGGCAUGCUUAGGUUAAAUUGACGGGACCUAAUAUGUUACCUUGUUUUGUCACCCUACACAUUGCAU